AGUGAACGCUGGCGGUAGGCCUAACACAUGCAAGUCGAACGGCAGCACAGUAAGAGCUUGCUCUUACGGGUGGCGAGUGGCGGACGGGUGAGGCAUACAUCGGAAUCUACUUUUUCGUGGGGGAUAACGUAGGGAAACUUACGCUAAUACCGCAUACGACCUACGGGUGAAAGCAGGGGAUCUUCGGACCUUGCGCGAUUGAAUGAGCCGAUGUCGGAUUAGCUAGUUGGCGGGGUAAAGGCCCACCAAGGCGACGAUCCGUAGCUGGUCUGAGAGGAUGAUCAGCCACACUGGAACUGAGACACGUUCCAGACUCCUACGGGAGGCAGCAGUGGGGAAUAUUGGACAAUGGGCGCAAGCCUGAUCCAGCCAUACCGCGUGGGUGAAGAAGGCCUUCGGGUUGUAAAGCCCUUUUGUUGUGAAAGAAAAGCAGCAGGUUAAUACCCCGCUGUUCUGACGGUAGCCAAAGAAUAAGCACCGGCUAACUUCGUG
rnacentral:rRNA from 1 species